AGUAGCUGGUCUGAGAGGAUGACCAGCCACACUGGGACUGAGACACGGCCCAGACUCCUACGGGAGGCAGCAGUGGGGAAUUUUCCGCAAUGGGCGAAAGCCUGACGGAGCAAUACCGCGUGAGGGAGGAAGGCUCUUGGGUUGUAAACCUCUUUCUCAAKGAAGAACACAAUGACGGUACUUGAGGAAUCAGCAUCGGCUAACUCCGUGCCAGCAGCCGCGGUAAUACGGAGGAUGCAAGCGUUAUCCGGAAUGAUUGGGCGUAAAGCGUCCGCAGGUGGCUGUGUAAGUCUGCUGUCAAAGAGCGAAGCUCAACUUCGUAAAGGCAGUGGAAACUACACGGCUAGAGUGCGUUCGGGGCAGAGGGAAUUCCUGGUGUAGCGGUGAAAUGCGUAGAGAUCAGGAAGAACACCGGUGGCGAAGGCGCUCUGCUAGGCCGCAACUGACACUGAGGGACGAAAGCUAGGGGAGCGAAUGGGAUUAGAUACCCCAGUAGUCCUAGCUGUAAACGAUGGAUACUAGGCGUGGCUUGUAUCGACCCGAGCCGUGCCGUAGCUAACGCGUUAAGUAUCCCGCCUGGGGAGUACGCACGCAAGUGUGAAACUCAAAGGAAUUGACGGGGGCCCGCACAAGCGGUGGAGUAUGUGGUUUAAUUCGAUGCAACGSGAAGAACCUUACCAAGGCUUGACAUGUCGCGAAUCUGAUGAAAGGUCAGAGGCCUUCGGAGCCCCA
rnacentral:rRNA from 1 species